UGUGAUGUUUGCAUCUUAUCUGCUUCUGGGGAAGCCUCAGGAAGCUUACAGUCAUGGCGGAAAGCAAAGAGGGAGCAGGCACGUCACAUGUCAAAAUCGGAGUGAGAGAGAGAGACAGAGCCACACACUUUUAAAUAACUAACUCAGAGAGCUUGCUCAUCACUAAGGGGAUGGCUCAAGCUAUUCAUGAGGGUCCUCCCCCAUGAUCCAAACAUCUUCCACCAGGCCCCACCUUCAACUCUCACAUGCCUAUGUAUUAUAGCUUUCUGGUAAACUGAACGUUUUUUUCAUGUUAUAAUGACUCUCUUUUAUCUCUACUUGUACUUUUUUGCCAUGUUACUUUUUUAAGCUAGAAUUUAUCUGGCAUAUCAUUCUUCAUCUUUUUACUUUCAACUAGUCUCUGACCAUGUUUUGAGUGGGUCUCUUUGUUACUAAUAUGUUUUCCUGAAUACAUUCAGGAAACAGGCAGACAUUUCGAUAAACAGGUUACAAAAUCUCUAUUUUCUACUUUUCUUUGUCUUCUUUCUUUCUUUUAAUUGAAAUGAUUCAGAUCUUUGCCACCAUUCUACAUCUCCACUCUUAUUUCAUCUGUUAGCUUUACUGAUUUGGUACAUAUGCUACUUUGCUCUUUUAGUAAAUACUAUUGGUGUUGCUACAUGCACACAUAAUAAAGUUUGUAUUUCAUCAAUAACCAUGUUCUUUGACUGAACGGUGCUUUAGCUUUACUUUUAUUUGAUCUUAUAAGUUAUUUUAUAUAAUAUAUUGCUGUUUAGAUUCAUUUGUAUUUAUUAUUUAUUUAUUGUUUCUUUUUGCAUUCAGACCUUCUUUCUAGGGUCAUUUUCAUUCUUGAAGUAUAUCUUUUAGAAAUCCCUUUAGUAAGAUUUGAAUAAUAAGAACUCUUAUUCACUAAUUCACUCAAAGCAGUACAUAUUGUGU